rnacentral:misc_RNA from 1 species
GAACUGCGAUAAGUAAUGUGAAUUGCAGAAUUCAGUGAAUCAUCGAGUCUUUGAACGCACAUUGCGCCCCCUGGCAUUCCGGGGGGCAUGCCUGUCCGAGCGUCAUUGCUGCCCUUCAAGCCCGGCUUGUGUGUUGGGUCGUCGUCCCCUCCGGGGGACGGGCCCGAAAGGCAGCGGCGGCACCGCGUCCGGUCCUCGAGCGUAUGGGGCUUUGUCACCCGCUCGAUAAGGACCGGCCGGGCGCCAGCCGGAGUCUCCAACCUUUUUUUCUCAGGUUGACCUCGGAUCAGGUAGGGAUACCCGCUGAACUUAAGC